AACGAACGCUGGCGGCAGGCCUAACACAUGCAAGUCGAACGCUUCAGCAAUGAAGAGUGGCAGACGGGUGAGUAACGCGUGGGAACCUUCCCAGUGGUACGGAAUAGCCCAGGGAAACUUGGGAUAAUACCGUAUAAGCCCUUCGGGGGAAAGAUUUAUCGCCAUUGGAUGGGCCCGCGUCGGAUUAGCUUGUUGGUGAGGUAAAAGCUCACCAAGGCGACGAUCCGUAGCUGGUCUGAGAGGAUGAUCAGCCACACUGGGACUGAGACACGGCCCAGACUCCUACGGGAGGCAGCAGUGGGGAAUAUUGGACAAUGGGCGCAAGCCUGAUCCAGCCAUGCCGCGUGAGUGACGAAGGCCUUAGGGUUGUAAAGCUCUUUUGGCGGGGACGAUAAUGACGGUACCCGCAGAAUAAGCUCCGGCUAACUUCGUG
rnacentral:rRNA from 1 species